GACGAACGCUGGCGGCGCGCUUAACACAUGCAAGUCGAACGGAAAGGCCUGCUUUCCCUUGUGGAUUGCGGGUACUCGAGUGGCGAACGGGUGAGUAACACGUGAGUGAUCUGCCCCCAACUUGGGUAUAAGCCUGGGAAACUGGGUCUAAUUCCCGAUAGGACUGCAGGGUGGUGCCUGUGGUGGAAAACGAUUUUCUAGUGGUUGGGGAUGAGCUCGCGGCCUAUCAGCUUGUUGGUGGGGUAAUGGCCUACCAAGGCGGCGACGGGUAGCCGGCCUGAGAGGGUGGACGGCCACAUUGGGACUGAGAUACGGCCCAGACUCCUACGGGAGGCAGCAGUGGGGAAUAUUGCAAAAUGGGCGGAAGCCUGAUGCAGCGACGCCGCGUGGGGGAUGACGGCCUUCGGGUUGUAAACUCCUUUCGACCGCGAGGAAGCCACCUGGUUGGAAGGGUGGUGACGGUAGUGGUAGAAGAAGCACCGGCUAACUACGUG
rnacentral:rRNA from 1 species